CAAUUUUAGUUCCUUUAAAUGAUGAUUGUGGUCCCUCUAAUCUUGACCUAUUCGUGAAGACUAUUCAACCACAUACCCACUUCUGAUUUAUAAUUAUGUAUAGGUAUUUACAUAAAAACUACUAAUAUUAUUUUAUAGUGUUAUUUACAUUCUUACGGUUUUCUUUACAGAUUUGGAAGAAAUUUGACCCACCGAAGUUCUUCUGCAGAUUUGCCAUGUUUUUCAGUGUCCAUUGUUUCCAUCGAAUGCAAUAUCUGAAAGUGGUGUAACUUGCUUUACAAAAUAUACCAAGCAGAAGUCAACUGGAUAACGAUACAGGUGGACAAGGAUCAAGGCGAAUGUUGGAUUGGCAAGGAUGCAUGGAUAUUGAACUGGCAUGAAGAUGUUGAAGAACGGAGAUCCAACGCAGUAGUUACAUGACGGGGAUGCCAUGUUUUCCAGUACCUAUUGUGAAGUUCCUAAGAAAUAAGUUCGAGAAAAAUGCAAAGAAGCUUACAGCUCUCUAUACAUAGAAGAGGAGACCAGAUACAAGGCAACACAAAUCUAGAAUAAU